rnacentral:lncRNA from 1 species
UUAAAAGACUGGCUUCUACAAUGUUCUGGGAGUGAAUGUCAGCACUGUGGAGUUCCAUCACCUGCCAAAUUUUUAAAAAGAGCACCAGAAUAUGGUCCAGAAAACUGUUGACUAGUACAUUAAUUUGUAGGGCUAUUGUACCCCAGGCAUAGGUAUAGAUUUUUUAUUAUGAACUAUAAUAACAAUGACAUUUAAUCAUAUCUUCAUUUACAUUCUGGCUCAGCUUCUGGAAACAACAUCCAUCCCACUUUCACGAUAUUUUGACUACAAUUGAUUAUUGGCACCAUUAUCAAUAUAAACGGUGACCGAAGGAGUCUAUCAGAUGCACCUAAUAAAGUUAAAUGCACUAAAACAUGGAUAUCUCAGAUGACUGAAUUCUUGAACAGCUAAUUAAGUGUGUCAAAUGUUGAAGUUCUAAACUAUCUUCGGAUCAGACACUCAUAUAAAAUUGGAAGCUAAAAUGUCUUUGAUGUUCCCUUUGAUCCUGAAUUAAAUAUAAAGAUUCAGUGGAGAGUUGAAGUAUGCCGAAGAUUUAUCACAACCAACGGGAAACUGGGGAAAUAAAUUCAGUUUACUUGUGUUUACAGAAAGAUUUCAUCUGCUUUUGCAAAUUCACUGGUCAUGAUGAGGACAUUAAGAGCCCAACUGUUACCCAAGAAAUUUUGUGAGUAUCUGCAAUAAAAUAUGCACAUAUAAAAGCA